rnacentral:rRNA from 1 species
AUUGAACGCUGGCGGCAUGCUUUACACAUGCAAGUCGAACGGCAGCGCGGGCUUCGGCCUGGCGGCGAGUGGCGAACGGGUGAGUAAUACAUCGGAACGUGCCCAGUAGUGGGGGAUAGCUCGGCGAAAGCCGGAUUAAUACCGCAUACGACCUGAGGGUGAAAGCGGGGGAUCUUCGGACCUCGCGCUAUUGGAGCGGCCGAUGGCAGAUUAGCUAGUUGGUGGGGUAAAGACCUACCAAGGCGACGAUCUGUAGCUGGUCUGAGAGGACGACCAGCCACACUGGGACUGAGACACGGCCCCGACUCCUACGGGAGGCAGCAGUGGGGAAUUUUGGACAAUGGGCGAAAGCCUGAUCCAGCAAUGCCGCGUGUGUGAUGAAGGCCUUCGGGUUGUAAAGCACUUUUGGCGGGAACGAAAAGGACUGUGCCAAUACCACGGUUCGAUGACGGUACCCGCAGAAUAAGCACCGGCUAACUACGUG